CAGUAGCCACGGGAAUACGUAGGUGGCGAGCGUUGUCCGGAUUUAUUGGGCGUAAAGGGAGUGUAGGCGGUCUUUUAAGUCUGAUGUGAAAGCCCACGGCUCAACCGUGGAGGGUCAUUGGAAAUUGGGAGACUUGAGUGCAGAAGAGGAGAGCGGAAUUCCAUGUGUAGCGGUGAAAUGCGUAGAUAUAUGGAGGAACACCAGUGGCGAAGGCGGCUCUCUGGUCUGUAACUGACGCUGAGGCUCGAAAGCGUGGGGAGCAAACAGGAUUAGAUACCCGGGUAGUCCCUGUCUCUUAUAU
rnacentral:rRNA from 1 species